rnacentral:snoRNA from 1 species
CAGGUGUGAUGAUGCUAAGAAAGGUUUCGCAUACUGGACUGAAGUCCUGUGAUGUCACUUCCUCUUGGCUGUCUGACCAG